rnacentral:rRNA from 1 species
UACGUAGGGGGCGAGCGUUGUCCGGAAUUAUUGGGCGUAAAGAGCGUGUAGGCGGUUCGGUAAGUCUGCCGUGAAAACCCAGGGCUCAACCCUGGGCGUGCGGUGGAUACUGCCGGGCUAGAGGGUGGUAGAGGCGAGUGGAAUUCCCGGUGUAGCGGUGAAAUGCGCAGAUAUCGGGAGGAACACCAGUAGCGAAGGCGGCUCGCUGGGCCACACCUGACGCUGAGACGCGAAAGCGUGGGGAGCAAACAGGAUUAGAUACCCCGGUAGUCC